UUUUUUUUUUUUUUUGGAGACGGAGACGGAGUUCGCUUUUUCGCCCAGGCUGGAGUGAAGUGGUGCGAUCUCGGCUCACUGCAAACUCCACCACCAGGGUUUAAGCGAUUCUCCUGCCUCAGCCACCAUGAUUUAACACUGAGAAGUGGGCAGUCACAGAGAAAAAGUUUAGAAUAGUUCACCAGUGAAGUCAUCUCAACCAGCACAGGGCCUUGACUCCUAACAACAAUCACACGAACUUGGAAGAGGAGCCUUCCCCAACUGAACCUUCGCUUGAGACCUCGUCCUUGGCCAUCCUCUACAUCUGGAUUCAUGAUACAGAGAAACUUGAGUAAUGAUGACACUAGCAGUCCAGCCUGCAUGGAUGCUGACAUGGAUGCUGUCUCCCAUUCUUACCACUGGAUGGGAAGAAAUGCUAGAUGCAAUCCAGCCAGUCUGUACUCGACUGUCAGUUCCAUCUUCUCAACUCACAGUGUCUUCCAAAGUCCGUGCCACACCACAGCCUGGAACAUCUCCCAAGGUUUCAAAUAAUUCAUCAGUGAAUUCUUCUCAACCUGGUCAAUCAUGUGAACUUAGAAGAUGAUUCCUCCCCAGCUGAUCCUCAGGUGAGACAUCAGCCUUGGCCAUCAUCUACAUCUGGAUUCCUGACCCAGAGAAACUGGAACACUAAGACCCAUUCUUCUUCUCAAGUAUCCAAAAAUAAAGUUGAUCCAAGUAAGAAGUGGACAGCAUAAAAGAUUGUAUGGAAGCUAUAAUGCAUCUACAUCUGCAGUAACUAAUCAUAAAAUGAUUUGUAUGAUCAUUCUUCACAUGAUUAGAAUUACUAUGGGAAAGAAGAAAAAGAAAUGCCUCUCUGGAUGGUGACUAUAACCUAUAGCCUUGCCCAAUAUGACUCAGGAUUUGGUACUGGCUGUGCCUUUCAUGGGAUGCUUACUUAUCCUGGUCGAUGGCCUAAAGCCCAACCGUCCAGCUUAUAUCCAGGGAUAAACUCAGCCUGCGGGGCCUCAGGAAGAAGGUCGUAGCCAUUUCAUUGAGUCCAGGGCAGAAAAGUGGAAGAAAAAUGUGAAUGUGUUAAUUUGAGGACUUUAGCUCUGAGAGGUUUCAGGAUUCAGUCCAAAAUGCAGAAAACAAUAAAAAGCUCAAAAACAAUGGACAAGACUAGAAUCUAACAACAGGGUCUCAAGCCACCCAGGCUGGAGUGCAGUGGCACAAUUAUGGCUCACUGUAGCCUCACCUUCCUGGGAUCAAGCAAUCUUCUUUCUUCAGCCUCCAGAGGAGCUGGGACCACAGAUCCUUUGGCAUUUGAGAGUUGCUUUGUGUAUACGGUCCUUUAACGGAGCAAAUGGCCAGCCAGGAAACCAAAGUAUGGACAAGGGGAAAGAAGCGUCUGUGGAGGAAGUUUUACAAGCGCCCUCCUCAUCCAUUUGGGUGGUGUUGCCCAUAUGCUACAUGUCUGUGGACCACUAUGUGUGUUUAAAGCUUUUUAGUAAAACGUUACUAAAAACUAUGACUCACUGUGGUGAAAAAGGUGGCAAAACAGUGACAACACAACACGGAGAUGCAUUGACACCCUUCUUCAAUCCAGAGGAUGGGCCAUCAACUCACAAAAGUACAAGGCCUGGAACCAGCUGCAAAGUUCCUAUGGAUCACUUGGCCAGAAACAGGUUCUAACUAUGUUGCCCAAGCUGGUCCUGAACCGCUAGCCUCAAAUAAUCCUCCUGCCUGAACCUACCAAAGCAUUGGUAUUACAAGUUUGACCCACCGUGAUCUGUCCAGAGUGGGAAAUAGAAUCUUAACAACUAUCACAUGAACUUUGAGGGUAUCCUUCUCCAGAUGAGCCUUCAGUUGAGACCUCAGCCUUGGACAUCAUCUGCACCUGGAUUCCUGACCCAGAGCAACUGCAUGCAUAUGUUAUCCCAGCUUCUGGGGAGGCUGACUUGGGAGGAUUGCUUGAGCCCAGGAGUUCCAAACUGAAGUGAGCCAUGAUUGUGUCACUGCACUCCAGCUUGGGAAACAGAGGGAGACCAAGACUCAAAAAAAAAAACUGGCCUCAGAAGGAAUUUUAUGGAACCUUGUAUUCUGUUGAAUACCAGAAUUAUAUCAGCAAUCCCAAAGUCACCAAAUGGGCAUCAUCAUGACAGCAGACUUCAUCAUGAAUUCAUGGCAUCACACAGUCCCCUGAUGCUAUAACAUCAUGGAUUUCUUUUGUCCAGUGAGAGGCCCAAAAGCUGCAGCAUAGACAAUAUCAUAGUGUAGAAGGUUCACUAGACCGUGAUCAUGGGCUACAUUCUCCGUACCAGCUUCAUAGCUCCAGUGAGAAAAUAAAUUCCUGCAUCCAGGAGAUGUGGAGUAAGAGAUACAGCUGCCCUUGACCAUAUUUCUUACUUCCGAGAAGAUCGUAGCAGUAAUUCAGGUUAUUGGGGAACAGGUGGUUUGGGUUACAUGAAAUCUCAUCCAGGAUACCUCAUCACAGGCUGGAGUGCAGUGUCAUGAGCUUGGCUCACUACAGCCUCCAUCUUCUGUGCUUAAGGAUCCUUCCCUCUCAACCUCCAAGGUAGCUGAGACUACAGGCAACAUUCGAAACCCAGGUGCCACUCCUUCAGGAAGGUACCAUCAAGCUCCAAGGACUCAUCCUCUUUCUCCUUCCCCACUACCUAGUCAUUAGAGCGUCAGCAUCCACUUCCUGAAAGGAAGAUGCCUGUUUUUCACAUAUCCCAGAAAGCCUCAUUUUAGGACAGCAUUUAGCAGAGUGUAUUCAGGAUCCCACUAACCUUUUCGGAAGACAUGACUUCCAGAUGAUAUAAGGCUCCAUCAGGAACUGUGCAGGACUGUGCACUCUGUUGAUACUCACAUGGUGGAAUUAUAUUGCCCUUGGCCAACCCUAAAGCCAUCAAGAUAGCAGGUUUGGAAUAAUUCACUGUCGAAGUCUUCUUGAGCUGAGCAGUCAUGUGAGCUUGGAAGAUGAUCCCUCUCCAGCUGAUCCUUCAGCUCAGGCCAUCAUCUACAUCUGGAUUCCUGACCCGGAGAAACUAUGAGUAAUGUGUGCUGCUUUUGAGCCACUAAGCUACAUGAAUUAAUGAAGGAUCAUUAUUAAGUUUUUAAUGGGUCAAGAGAAAGUUACCACUGAGGUCUUCUCUACCUGGGCAACAAUUGACUCCUAACAACCACUAUAAGCUUGGAAGAUGAUCCCUCCCCAGCUGAUCCUUCAGGUCUCUACUUUUUGUAGCCUGGGGAUUUUCUACUCCCCCAACAGCCAGAUGAGGCAGAAACCCCUACAGACAUCCCUAUGUGCCUCCUGUGCAAGUGCAGUUGCCCCUUGAAGGCAGUUCUCCUGCUGCAGACCACGCCCACCAAGGGCAGAGUCACAGCCACUGCAGCUGAGCUCAGAGCCUUCUGUGGGGUCUGCAGGGGCAAGGCCAGCUGUCCCCUGGGAUAGUUUGAAGAAUGCAGUUUGUUUGUAUAAUAAAGAUGUUUCUCUACGUCAUUCAUCUUGCUAAUCAAGGACGUUUAACAGCUUCAGACUUUCCUGGUAAUAUUUGUUCUUGCCUUUUUUUGGCAAAUAUAGUUAACACUUCUAUGCAUUUUUU
rnacentral:lncRNA from 1 species